rnacentral:rRNA from 1 species
UACGAAGGGGGCUAGCGUUGUUCGGAAUUACUGGGCGUAAAGCGCGUGUAGGCGGGUCUUUAAGUCAGGGGUGAAAUGCCAGGGCUCAACCUUGGAACUGCCUUUGAUACUGGUAGACCUUGAGUCCGGGAGAGGUGAGUGGAAUUGCGAGUGUAGAGGUGAAAUUCGUAGAUAUUCGCAAGAACACCAGUGGCGAAGGCGGCUCACUGGCCCGGAACUGACGCUGAGACGCGAAAGCGUGGGGAGCAAACAGG